GAUGAACGCUCGCGGCAGGCCUAAUACAUGCAAGUCGAACGAGAUUACGAGGCUUGCUUCUUAUGAAAGUGGCGCACGGGUGCGUAACGCGUAUGCAACCUACCUUAAUCAGGGGGAUAGCCCGAAGAAAUUCGGAUUAAGACCGCAUAAAAACACAGGAUAGCAUUAUCCAAUGUUCAAAUAUUUAUCGGAUUAAGAUGGGCAUGCGUGUCAUUAGCUAGUUGGCGGGGUAACGGCCCACCAAGGCGACGAUGACUAGGGGAUCUGAGAGGAUGACCCCCCACACUGGUACUGAGACACGGACCAGACUCCUACGGGAGGCAGCAGUAAGGAAUAUUGGUCAAUGGAGGGAACUCUGAACCAGCCAUGCCGCGUGCAGGAAGACAGCCCUCUGGGUCGUAAACUGCUUUUAUUCGGGAAUAAACCUUUCUACGUGUAGGAAGCUGAAUGUACCGAAGGAAUAAGGAUCGGCUAACUCCGUG
rnacentral:rRNA from 1 species